AUCUCUACUGUCCCAUAUCCAUCCCUGCUGACCAAAGCAAAACUAGGUUUUUCUUGCUUUUCCUGGGCUGAGCCUCUUAUUGUUCCUAGACACAGCCAGCCUGGUGAGCACAGGCAAACUGGACAUUGGAAGACCCAGCUGCACAAAGACUCCUUCCUGUGAGAGGCUUGGAGAAGACUUUGCUCUAGACACACAAGGGAGCCUGUGGGAAGGUGCCAGGGGAGCCAAGAAGAGCAAAACCAAGGAGGCAUUGUUUCCUCCAGAGCCUCAUUCAUCAACUCGCUCUGAACAGUUAGCACGCUCAGACAGUCAUCUUCUGCACCUUGCCUUUCCCUGUGUCUUGACUGAGGGCUUAUCUGAGAGCCUUUUGUUCAGGCUCAUAAUUAUUCAGUGACUCAGGAGCCCACAAGCAUUACCCACGGAGCCAGACAAGACCAGCAAGCUCUGAGGACCACCUGUUCCAAGUCAUUUCCUGUGUGGGCGGCAACUUCACAGGGCUGAAAAUACGAGUUACGGUAAAAAUGUCUUCAACCCUGGCGCGCUGGAUUGUUGAAACUCGAUGGAAUCUUGCUUGAUUAUGUUCAGGCCAGACACAUUUCAUUAUCAUUCUUUGCAUAUAUAUUAAAAACUCUAACCCCUUUACAAACAAAUGUUCUCAAGGGGCAGACAGCACACCCUUGCCUCAUGACAUUGCUCUA
ensembl:lncRNA novel transcript